GGGCUUCGGCCUGGUGGCGAGUGGCGAACGGGUGAGUAAUGCGUCGGAACGUGCCGAGUAAUGGGGGAUAACGCAUCGAAAGGUGUGCUAAUACCGCAUACGCUCUGAGGAGGAAAGCGGGGGACCUUCGGGCCUCGCGUUAUUCGAGCGGCCGACGUCUGAUUAGCUAGUUGGUGGGGUAAAGGCUCACCAAGGUGACGAUCAGUAGCGGGUCUGAGAGGAUGAUCCGCCACACUGGGACUGAGACACGGCCCAGACUCCUACGGGAGGCAGCAGUGGGGAAUUUUGGACAAUGGGCGAAAGCCUGAUCCAGCCAUGCCGCGUGAGUGAAGAAGGCCUUCGGGUUGUAAAGCUCUUUUGUCCGGGAGGAAAUCCCGCAACCUAAUACGUUGCGGGGAUGACAGUACUGGAAGAAUAAGCACCGGCUAACUACGUGCCAGCAGCCGCGGUAAUACGUAGGGUGCAAGCGUUAAUCGGAAUUACUGGGCGUAAAGCGUGCGCAGGCGGUUUGAUAAGUCAGAUGUGAAAUCCCCGGGCUUAACCUGGGAACUGCGUUUGAAACUGUCAGGCUAGAGUACGUCAGAGGGGGGUGGAAUUCCACGUGUAGCAGUGAAAUGCGUAGAGAUGUGGAGGAACACCGAUGGCGA
rnacentral:rRNA from 1 species